AUUGAACGCUAGCGGGAUGCCUUACACAUGCAAGUCGAACGGCGUGGCGACCGGGUGCGUAAUGUCUCUGAACGUGCCCCGUAGCGGGGGCUACCUACGCGCAAGCGUAGCUCAUACCGCCUCCUAUUGGCGCGGCCGAUAUCGGAUUAGCUAGUUGGUGGGGUAACGGCUCACCAAGGCGACGAUCCGUAGCUGGUUUGAGAGGACGACCAGCCACACUGGGACUGAGACACGGCCCAGACUCCUACGGGAGGCAGCAGUGGGGAAUUUUGGACAAUGGGGGAAACCCUGAUCCAGCCAUCCGGCGUGUGCGAUGAAGGCCUUCGGGUUGUAAAGCACUUUUGGCAGGAAAGCGGUACCUGCAGAAUAAGCACCGGCUAACUACGUGCCAGCAGCCGCGGUAAUAC
rnacentral:rRNA from 1 species